UCCUCCUUCUCUCACUCGAGAUUCAUCACCCACAAAACCCUAGUUUUUGCUUCCAAUGCAUUGCGCAUAAAUAGCGCCACCAAUGAGCUUUUACAGGUUGGGAUUGAUGAGCAUAACACAUGUAGUGGUAUUGAUGAUUUUUCUUGCCAAAAAGGCAUUGACGGUAUUUUGAGAUGGUGACUCAUCUGCAGGAAUGCACGCGUGCUGCUCUUUCCCCUUCUAUUAGAAUAUGCAUACAGCUUUUUUGUAGGGAGAAAAGAUGAUUAAGUGCAAAAGCUGGCUGAUAGAAAUGAUGGAAAGGGUAGGUUAGCAAGGUAUACCAACAAUUGCAUGGUAUUUUCUUGAUUUUAUAAGAUCAAGAGGGUAAACAUCUAUCCAACAAGAAAAUGGAUGAACUAGUCUGCACUAACUUCUGUUUUUUACUGUUCUUUCAGAUCAAAAUUUAUGAGAUUUAACCUUGUUUUAUCGUCACAUGUUUGGAUUUAGCUCGAAAAAGUUCAGUGAUUAGACAUUUUUUUGAUUGUUUAUGCAUUUUUUUUUCUUU